rnacentral:rRNA from 1 species
GACACACUAUCAUUAACUGAAUCCAUAGGUUAAUGAGGCGAACCGGGGGAACUGAAACAUCUAAGUACCCCGAGGAAAAGAAAUCAACCGAGAUUCCCCCAGUAGCGGCGAGCGAACGGGGAGCAGCCCAGAGCCUGAAUCAGUAUGUGUGUUAGUGGAAGCGUCUGGAAAGGCGCGCGAUACAGGGUGACAGCCCCGUACACAAAAAUGCACAUGCUGUGAGCUCGAUGAGUAGGGCGGGACACGUGGUAUCCUGUCUGAAUAUGGGGGGACCAUCCUCCAAGGCUAAAUACUCCUGACUGACCGAUAGUGAACCAGUACCGUGAGGGAAAGGCGAAAAGAACCCCGGCGAGGGGAGUGAAAAAGAACCUGAAACCGUGUACGUACAAGCAGUGGGAGCACGCUUAGGCGUGUGACUGCGUACCUUUUGUAUAAUGGGUCAGCGACUUAUAUUCUGUAGCAAGGUUAACCGAAUAGGGGAGCCGAAGGGAAACCGAGUCUUAACUGGGCGUUAAGUUGCAGGGUAUAGACCCGAAACCCGGUGAUCUAGCCAUGGGCAGGUUGAAGGUUGGGUAACACUAACUGGAGGACCGAACCGACUAAUGUUGAAAAAUUAGCGGAUGACUUGUGGCUGGGGGUGAAAGGCCAAUCAAACCGGGAGAUAGCUGGUUCUCCCCGAAAGCUAUUUAGGUAGCGCCUCGUGAAUUCAUCUCCGGGGGUAGAGCACUGUUUCGGCAAGGGGGUCAUCCCGACUUACCAACCCGAUGCAAACUGCGAAUACCGGAGAAUGUUAUCACGGGAGACACACGGCGGGUGCUAACGUCCGUCGUGAAGAGGGAAACAACCCAGACCGCCAGCUAAGGUCCCAAAGUCAUGGUUAAGUGGGAAACGAUGUGGGAAGGCCCAGACAGCCAGGAUGUUGGCUUAGAAGCAGCCAUCAUUUAAAGAAAGCGUAAUAGCUCACUGGUCGAGUCGGCCUGCGCGGAAGAUGUAACGGGGCUAAACCAUGCACCGAAGCUGCGGCAGCGACGCUGAUGCGUUGUUGGGUA